CAGAAGAGAAGCUCACAUGGCAGAUGAGGCUCCACCAGCGCCCAGCUCCACUCCUUCCAGCAGCAGCUUGUACGUGGCGAUCUCCUUCUCCAGUUUCUCUUUGAUGUUCAGAAGGUUCCUGUAGUCCUCAGACUGGGAGGUUAUGCUGUUCCGGAUGCUCAUCAACUCCCCCUCCAUGGUACCCACCAAGGCAGCGUAAC